rnacentral:lncRNA from 1 species
GUGAAUGUUGGUGUAAAUUAUAAUAAAACACUUGAAUUUCCUGCCGUCACCAUAUGCAACCAAAACGCUUUCAAGUAAGUUGUUAGAAAAGAGAAUUCUAAAUUUGAAUGCAAUAUAUUGAUUUCUUUGUAUUGUUAGGACAGUGAGAUUGUACUUCAAAAAUCUUUUACAUUUCUAUCUCAGGGUUUGCAUAGUUUUUAGUAUGGACAAUUUUACUUUCAUUGAAAUCUGAGACAAACCGAGAAAAACUAACAUACCUAUACUCUAUACAAAGGGACACCAAUAACAUCACAGGUAAUAUUACAAAUAUAUAAUAUAACCGUGACAGAUACAUUAUACAACAUGAAAUAAACAUUAUUGAAACGAAUUUGUCACAAUUUCAACCAUGUCGUAAAAAUAUUCGUGUGAAAAGUAAAUUUAACAGCAAUACUUAUUCCAAUGAAAAUUCAAUACGGAAAGUCCCUAAUUAAAUGAAAAGAUAAAAAGCCCAAAUACAACAACAGAAAAGAUAACAACUGUCAUAUUCCUGACUUUGUUCAGAAAUUUUAUGAUGUAGACAUGGUGAAAUAAACCUGGUUUUACAGCUAGCUAAACCUCUCACUUCAAUGACAGUCGUACAAAAUAAUGGUUUAGUUAAGUUCUUGAAAUAUUUCAAUUUUCGAUUGUUGUGAAUGUAUGAGCUAAAUGUAGGCCUAACGUGUCCUAUUAGAAAUUGGAAUGUCCAAAGCCACAACCUGUUCUCUUUCCGUAAAUGUGAUGAAACCAAAAGUGGUGUAAGACAAAAUUGUUUACAUCCACUUGUUUUAAUAACACUGCUUUAAUAUAUUGGAAUUUUAAGAAAGUGUAUUUCAUUAUAAAUUUAAAUUUGUUGUCCUACUCAUAUUGCUAUCCUGAUGGAACCAUCGAAAAUUCAUUCUUCAUAAACAGCAUGUAUGCUUGAAAAUAGGGUAUUAUUAAGUAUAUUUACAAAAAGUAAAACUUUAAUAAAAAUUCAAAACGGACAUCCCCUCUACAAAUGGCAAAAUAAAAAACCCACAUCAAACGAAUGGAAAAUGGUACAACAAUUAUGAAUAAGAUUAAACUGGUAAAAAUGCGAGAAAAAAAUAAUGUUCUGCCGACUUUGAUGACAAUCGUUGUUCAAUCACGGUAUACUUAAUUUCGAAACGUUUUUGUCUAAUAUUUUUCAAACAACAGUAAAUAGAAAGUCCAUUUUAUUUGUUUGAAUACAUUUACCUUUCGAAAGCAUUUCGUAUAAAGAGAAGAUUAUCCAUCAUUACUAAGCGAUGAAAGUUACAAAUUGUCUGAUUCGUGUUUGAUGCAUAUAUUUUGCACCGUAGUGUAGCACUUUGAUUGACAAAACUUCUUUUGUAGAAGCAUUAUCUUGAAUGUGAACUGUAAUUUAUGAAUCAAUUUUACAUACAUCAUCAAACUUUGUUGUUAUAUCAGUAAUAUAACGAUUAACCGAUCAGUUACUAUGUAUAAUUAUUGCCAAUGAUAAUAUUCUUCACAAAAGAUCAAUUGACACAGAAAAUUAAUAACAAUAAGUCACCGUACGGCCUUCAACAAUGAGCAAAUCCCAUACAUCAUAGUUAGUUAUAAAAGUCAUUGAAGACAAACGCAAAUUAAUGCAAACGAGGAAACUAACGGCCUAAUUAAUGUACAAUUUGUUUUAGUGAAAAACAAUUAUGUAACACAGCAACAAGAGACAAUCACUGAAUUACGGGCUUCUGACUUGAGAGAGGCACACACAACCAUAAUGUAGCAGAGGUUUUAUAUGUCAAUCUAACACAAUAGACAAUGAUUAUAUAAAAUGAUAAGCUGGAUACAACUAGUCUAAAGACGUCAUUGCCUUAAUACUGAAUUUCAAAGUAACACUAAAAUGCAUGUGCUUGGGUAUUAUUCCCGCUAUACAGACAGUCCUGAUUUAUUGUUUAUUUGAGUCUCACAUCUUUGUUAUUUUUAAAGUGACGUGUAAUGCAGUUUUAAUUUCGGAACGGCUUUAUGAAUAAAGUCUUUGCAUUUAAUAGCAUUAAAUAUUUUAUUUUUGAUAGAGCAUCUUUAGCUACAGAAUAUGGUUGGUAUGAGAUGAUAGAAAAAUUUUACAACACAAGCAUCCCUUGAUGAUUUGCUACAGAACAAUAUGUAUGAGAAUAUCACGUUAGAAACGUUGUACCUUAAGACUGCACAUGAAAGGAAUGAUUUUA